rnacentral:lncRNA from 1 species
GACAACUCGCGGGGAUUGUUUUCCACACCGUGGAAGCUUUGUUCUUUUCGUUUUUUGCAAUAAAUCUUGUUGCUGCUCGCUUUUUGGGUCCACAUUGCUUUUAUGAGCUGUACCACUCACCGUGAAGAUCUGCAGCUUCACUUCAGAGCCUAGCGAGACCACAAGCUCACUGAGAGGAACAAACAACUCCAGACGCGCUGUCUUAAGAGCUAUAACACUCACCGCGAAGGUGUGCAGUUUCACUCCUGAGCUAGUGAGACUACGAAGCCACUGGAACGAAGAAACUCCAACCACGUUUGAACAUCAGAAGGGGCAGACUCCAGACGCUUCAUCUUAAGAGCUGUAACACUCACUGUGAAGGUCUGCAGCUUCACUCCUGAGCCAGCGAGACCACGAACCGAUCUGAACAUCAGAAGGGACAGACUCCAGAUGCCCCACCUUAAGAGCUGUAAUACUCACUGCAAGGGUCUGCAGCUUCAUUCUUGAAGUCAGACCAAGAACCCAGCAAUUCCCAACACACAGGGACCAGCUUCUUUCCUAACUCACUUAGGCUCUUCGUGCUGCUCUGGCAACUAACACCCUUGGCUGCAGGGGCUUGGACACUACCCUUAGUCACUGACAAUUGUGUGAAGGCUGCUGUCGUUAACUUCACUUGAUCACCUUAGGCUCCUGUGAAGUGGUGAGCAAUUCAAACAAAUUCCUGUCGUCAAAUCAUGUGUUCAGCUGCAUUGGCGCCAGAGCACCAAUGGGGCAAGAGAAUCCUCUGGAGAAGUUUUCUGUGAUCUCAUCACAGGAGUAGCCCAGAGGAACAGCCCAGGGCCUGGGGCCUAGGAUGGGUGGACCAGGCCAUGCAGCUGGUUGGGGGCUUGACCCCCACUCAAAAAGGAUAUACAUCUUUCCACACCAAUAGACCUUGUUUUCCGAUGUAGCAUUAUUUUUCAUAGUUGGCGAAUAUACAGUUAUGGAUUCAUAACAGCAAGAUGGAGAAAUUGCACUGCAGAGAAAUCUUUAAAAGCAAUUACCUAAUACUGCAGAUUGCUGAACUGUACCCACACCCAAGACUGAGCAUUGGAUCAAUCCAGAAUAUACAUCAGGUGUUCUGCAAUGUCUGCCUAAAACCAUGACUCUGCCUCCUCCAGCUGUUGCUACAUCUCACUAUGGGUUUCCUGUGACAUUUUGAGCAAGUAUGCCUCUGUGACUGGGGUUCUUACACUCCAGAAUGGAUGAGAAGCACCGUAAGUGGCUUUUAAAAUGAAUAUUCCCUGGCCCUUCAGUCGCUCUAUAGGUCAAGAAUCUGAAUUCUCAACCUGUCUAGAAGGUUCUGGUUUUAAUGGUCUGUGGGCUGCACAUUGAGAAACCUGUUCAGCGAGUGCAACAAAGGUUCCACAUGUGAGAAAGGAAGCAUCAGGUCUCUUGAGCCUGUUCUUUAAUCUGUAGGCUGCACCUUCUCUUUAAAUUCUGCUAAUAACACCAUGCGAGAAAACACCCGAGCUUGAAAAGCCCAUGUUCCAACAUAACUGUCCUUCACCACUCUGGAAAAUUAAUGGUUUGUUUCGAUUAUCCCUUUGUUAAACUCCAAAGUCAAAGAGCUCUGAAAGGCAUACGGUUAUUUUAAGUUUCAGGUGAUUUCUGUUGCCAAAUAUUUUAAAAAUUUAAAAUUGCUACGUGACCUCUUAGUAGUACUAUUAGAUUUCCUGACAAUAAAAAUAAGUCUUUUGGUUUCACCAUUUAUAGUUAGUACAGCUAAUAUUAAGUAUAAUUUUAAAAGCCUUUUAUUUUCUCAGAAAGAAAAAAUAAUCAAAAUCUGCUCAGUGUGGUAUUGAAUAAUUAAAAACAAAAGAACAGUAUCUUCACAUUAGUGUUUAAUAUUAAUUGCUUUUUUACCCUUGACACUGGUGCUAAUUAAAUUUUCAUUUUAUUUUCCAUGACUUGUUUAAACAGUUUUUGCAAAUUAUUGCUAAUC